GCGGGCGUGGUUCAAUGGCUAGAAUGUCAGCCUUCCAAGCUGAAGACGUGGGUUCGACUCCCAUCGCCCGCU
rnacentral:tRNA from 3 species